rnacentral:misc_RNA from 1 species
AAAAUGGAGCUGCUGUUGUU